UAGUUUUUUGUUGAACAUUUUGAUUCUCAGAGAAUAAUUUAUGGAUCUUGAUGAUGUUGUGUUGUGUACUUCGGGGCCACUGUACAUUCACUGUAACACACGCUUUUUAUUCGGUUUUAUUAUGAAAUCUUAACCGGAACAUGCAUUGUGUUUCGUGGCUGACUUGACAGACUGUGUGUCGGUGAAAGUGAAACUAAAAUGAAAAUGGACUUGAGGGGAAAACCACUGAUCUCUACACACUAGAGUCUGAGUGUUAUCAGCAGCUCGGAGGAGAAUCUGUCAGCAGAAGGGAAACAAACACCAUGACCGACUUUUCUACCAUUUAUAAACUCUGCCUGCUCACUGUCACCUGCUGCAUCCAAGCCUGCAGCAGCAGCAGCAGCAGCAGCAGGUC